rnacentral:rRNA from 1 species
AUGCGCCGCAUCGUCCGAGCUCUCCGGCCGCUCCAAAAGCUAACCUCUCAUACCACCCAGUUUCCUCUCCCCGUCCACCGCCUCCUCUCCACCUCUUCCUCCUCAUCCUCCUCCUCCGCCGCUGCUGCCUCCUCAGACUCCGACUCCGCCGCCCACGACGCUGAUUUUAACAGCGCUGACUUCUCCCUCCCACCCACGGACCCAUCCCCAGCCUCCGCCGCACCCGUCCGCAACCCCCUCUCCGCGCUUUGUAAGGUCCGAUUCGACCCCUCCCUCCGCGCACGCGCCGACGAGGCGCUCUUCGGGGAGAAGAAUGCAGGGAUGGGAGUGGAGGACGCGGUGGAGGAAGAGCGGUCGCGGGAGGUGGCGCUCGCGCUGCUUGAGGCCGCCCUGGAGCCGCCCGACGAGGACGAGGAGGGAGGCCCCGAGGAGGUCAGGAAGGAGGACCAGAUGUCGCUCUCCGUCGGGAUCGUCGGUGCGCCCAACGCCGGCAAGUCGUCGCUCACCAACACUGCUGUUGGCUCAAAAGUGGCUGCAGUCUCCCGCAAGACAAAUACAACAACUCAUGAAAUUUUGGGCGUGCUGACAAAAGGGAAAACUCAGAUAUGCUUUUUUGAUACCCCAGGUCUCAUGUUAGGGCACCAUGGGUUUCCUCAUAGGGAUGUCACCGUUCGUGUAGAGAGUGCCUGGAACUCAGUUAACCUCUAUGAUUUACUAAUAGUAAUGUUUGAUGUCAAUAGGCAUCUGAAAAUGCCUGAUUCCCGAGUAAUAAAGUUAAUCAAACGAUUGGGUGCCGAGGUAAACCCAAACCAGAAACGUAUAUUAUGCAUGAAUAAGGUUGACCUAGUGGAUGACAAAAAAGACUUGCUGAAGGUUGCAAAGGAAUUUGAAGAUCUUCCUGGAUUUGAGCGGUACUUCAUGGUUUCUGGACUAAAAGGCAAAGGAGUGAAGGACCUUGUACAGUACUUGAUGGACCAGGCAGUGAGAAGACCUUGGGACGAGGAACCGGCGACAAUGACUGAAGAAGUAAUGAAAACCAUAUCAUUGGAGGUUGUGCGAGAGAAGAUGCUGGAUCAUAUUCACCAAGAAAUCCCAUAUGUAAUUGAGCAUCGGCUGAUGGAUUGGAAGGAGCUAAAAGACGGUUCUCUUAGGGUGGAACAACACUUUAUUGCACCAAAGCAAAGCCAACGGCAGAUCCUUGUUGGAAAAAAUGGCUCUAAGAUCGGGAGAAUCGGGAUUGAAGCCAAUGAAGAAUUGCGGUCCAUAUUCAAGAGAGAUGUCCAUCUGAUGCUCCAAGUUAGAGUUGCUAAGAAGAGGAGUUCUUGA